AAAUAUGAAGCAUUAUAUAUGCCUUUAGUUUCGACCUAAAAAAAGAUAUAAAUAUAUCCAUAUUUA
rnacentral:tRNA from 1 species